rnacentral:lncRNA from 1 species
GUUGAGCUUGAACGCUUUCUUAAUUGGUGGCUGCUUUUAGCUGUUCUUAGGUAGCUCGUCUGGUUUCGGGGGUCUUAGCUUUGGUUCUCUUUGCAAAGUUAUUUCUAGUUAAUUCAUUAUGCAGAAGGUACAGGGGUUAGUCCUUGCUAUAUUAUGCUUGGUUAUAAUUUUUCAUCUUUCCCUUGCGGUACUAUAUCUAUUGCGCCGGUUUACAAUUUCUAUCGCCUAUACU